rnacentral:rRNA from 1 species
UACAGGGGGUGCAAACGUUGCUCGGAAUCAUUGGGCGUAAAGCGUGCGCAGGCGGUCCGCAAAGUCUGAUGUGAAAGCCCCGGGCUCAACCUGGGAACUGCAUUGGAAACUAACGGGCUCGAGUGUGGCAGAGGGGGGUGGAAUUCCACGUGUAGCAGUGAAAUGCGUAGAUAUGUGGAGGAACACCGAUGGCGAAGGCAGCCCCCUGGGUCAAAACUGACGCUCAUGCACGAAAGCGUGGGGAGCAAACAGG